GGGUGAGGAAGCAUGGGUAACCUGCCCUUGAGAAUGGAAUAACCCGCCGAAAGGCGAGCUAAUACCGUAUACGCUUGUUGUCUUAUGGGAUAGCAAGGAAAGCUGUACCGAGGGUGCGGCACUCAAGGAGGGGCUCAUGUCCUAUCAGCUUGUUGGUAGGGUAACGGCCUACCAAGGCAACGACGGGUAGCUGGUCUGAGAGGAUGAUCAGCCACACUGGCACUGAGAUACGGGCCAGACUCCUACGGGAGGCAGCAGUGAGGAAUAUUGCGCAAUGGGCGAAAGCCUGACGCAGCGACGCCGCGUGGGGGAUGAAGGUUUUCGAAUUGUAAACCCCUUUCAGGAGGAAAGAUAAGGCGGGUUACCGCCUGGACGGUACCUCCAGAAGAAGCCACGGCUAACUUCGUGCCAGCAGCCGCGGUAAUACGAAGGUGGCGAGCGUUGUUCGGAUUUACUGGGCGUAAAGAGCACGUAGGCGGUUAGGUAAGCCUCUUGGGAAAGCUCCUGGCUUAACCGGGAAAGGUCGAGGGGAACUACCUAGCUAGAGGACGGGAGAGGAGCGUGGAAUUCCCGGUGUAGCGGUGAAAUGCGUAGAUAUCGGG
rnacentral:rRNA from 1 species